GAUCUCGCCGGACCUGACAUGGGCUUCUCCCCAUCCAUCUUCUGUGUUCAGUGAAGCUAAUUUUGCAAAUGAACAAGGUCUGAUGGUGCCGAAGGUUUGCACUCACAAACAUCUCUACAAAUAACUCUCCUCAGAAGCACUUUUGGAUGGUUUGGAUGGUUCACCAGGCACUGAAGAAGUCAAUUCAGUAUAAUGGCACAUGAAAAACCAGAUUUGCAAAUUCUGGAGGAGGUCAAAAGUGAGUCAUCAUGCAUGGAUAAUGAAGAUGACCCUUAUGGUAAAACAUGCUUUCAUCACAGAAGAGUGGUGUGGGUGGAUGAUGAUGAUGAUGGCUUUGACUUGGCCAUGUGAGCCAAAGUUCCUGUGAC